rnacentral:rRNA from 1 species
AGAGAGAGACAUGCGCGCAUAUCAAUAAGCGGAGGAAAAGAAACUAACUAAGGAUUCCCUCAGUAACGGCGAGUGAAGCGGGAAGAGCUCAAAUUUGAAAUCUUCAAGGUUCUACCUUGACGAAUUGUAGUUUAAAGAAGUGUUUUCUGCUGAAGUUUUGGUAAAAGUUCUUUGGAAUAGGACAUCAUAGAGGGUGAGAAUCCCGUAUUUGACCAUUAUUUUCAGCUUUGUGAUACACUUUCAAAGAGUCGGAUUGUUUGGGAAUGCAGUCCAAAAUGGGUGGUAAAUUUCAUCUAAAGCUAAAUAUUGGCGAGAGACCGAUAGCGAACAAGUACCGUGAGGGAAAGAUGAAAAGAACUUUGAAAAGAGAGUUAAACAGUACGUGAAAUUGUCAAAAGGGAAGCGUUUGACACCAGUGUUGUUUUCUCGAAAAUCAAUUAAAAAUGGCUCGAUUUUGUAUUGCUUGAGACCUUAAAAGCUCACUGUACAUUUUUCGUGUCUAUUUUAAUGCACUUUUCGUUUAACAAGUCAACAUCAGUUUCUUUUGUUGUAAAAAGGGUCAUUGGAAGGUGGCUUUCUUUUCGGAGAAAGUGUUUAUAGCCUUUGGCCUCUGCAAUCGGAGAGACAUGAGGUCUGCAGCGUAGACUCUUCGGGGUUAGAUACAUUUGUGCUAAGUUAUAGCUUUUUAUAGACAACUUGUUGACUAUAAUUAGUCUUGUAGCUUACUCGCUUAUGCUAUUUUACCUACGCUUAGGAUGUUGAAGAUGUAGCACAUCAU